rnacentral:rRNA from 1 species
GGGGGAAUAUUGGACAAUGGGGGCAACCCUGAUCCAGCAAUGCCGCGUGAGUGAUGAAGGCCUUCGGGUUGUAAAGCUCUUUUGGCGGGGACGAUGAUGACGGUACCCGCAGAAUAAGCCCCGGCUAACUUCGUGCCAGCAGCCGCGGUAAUACGAAGGGGACUAGCGUUGUUCGGAAUUACUGGGCGUAAAGCGCACGUAGGCGGAUUUGUUAGUCAGGGGUGAAAUCCCGGGGCUCAACCUCGGAACUGCCUUUGAUACUGCAAGUCUUGAGUCCGAUAGAGGUGGGUGGAAUUCCUAGUGUAGAGGUGAAAUUCGUAGAUAUUAGGAAGAACACCGGUGGCGAAGGCGGCCCACUGGAUCGGUACUGACGCUGAGGUGCGAAAGCGUGGGGAGCAAA